GCAUGCUCCUCGAGGACUGGGGUUGUGUGAAGCUACCCUUUUUUUUUUUAAAGCAUACAGUCCUAUUAAGAAUGGACAUAUUUGUCCCAAAAUGUAUUCACAGGUCCAGAAAAAGGAAGGUUGGGGAAGUAAUGGGGAAGGAUGAAUGCGGAAGAGAUGAAGGCAGGAGAAAACCACCCAGACCAGAGUUAGCUGAAGAUGCGACUGCUGAGGCCUUUUGCUCCACCAUAGGAGCUGAAAGGAAGAAGUCAACAUAAAGUACUCCGUAGCCACUUAGUGUGGACACCAGGUGAGACCACACACACACAAUAACAGUCUCUCUCCUUCACUUCAUCCCUCUCCCCCUUCUCCCUAAAUCCUCUAGGUUAUAUCAGCUGUUUUGGUAAACCCCUCCCGCAUCUGAACUGGCUGACACAGAGGGCACAGAAUGAUCAUAGGAAGCCAGUCCCGUCAUCGCCACCUCACCCACUCUUAAGAUAACCUUCGGGCCAACUGGGGGCCCAAAGCUGUGAAGUACAGAUUGAACUUGUAUUUAUAAUAUAAUAUUACAAUUAUCAGAAUUAUAAUGCAUGUAUUAUGUAUUUAUAACACCUGAGUAAUGAACUUCUUUAAAUAAAGCG
rnacentral:lncRNA from 1 species